GACACCAAGUUUUAUAGCAACGCUCCAGACCGCAUCUGGUGUCUUUUGUGUCCCCCCAACGUGCCUCGCGUUGGGUUUCCUGAGCAUCGUCAUGACAACAGUGAGCAUGGUGGCCUUUGAAAACAAUACUCCAGACACAAGUUGAGAGAAGUGUGCUGGCCCGAGGAGGGUUUAAGCGCUUCCUAAAAACUUCAGACUCUCGAUUUAUUUUCCGCAGCCCAACGAUAAUAAAAGGCCUGCUUCUCUGCUUUAGUGUGUAGUUAUCCCCGUAGAGGCGCUGCGAGUCUCAAACCAUGUGUGAAAUCAGCGUCCAGCCGUGGGGCAACUUCCUCCACCCAGACUCAUUCUCUUCUCUUCUCCUGCCUGCUCCUGCCAGGGGAUGCUUUACUUUACUUUGCUUUGCUUUGCUCCGCCUCGUUCAACACUAAAGUACCGGCAGUAUGUCAUGCAGGGCCUGCAACCCGCAGCAAUUAAAGUUUAAUGGGUGUUAGACUUCGUUUCAUUAUCCAAGCAGCUGAAAUCUUCCUAAUCCUUCGAACCCCCCUGGUUCAAACAACCUGGGUGACACCGGCAUUAGCAAAGCUGGAAACCAUUGUCCAGGCCACAUAAAGAUGGCUACAAAGUCGGCCUUCUGUCACCUGAAGAACAUUUCCAGGAUUAAAGGACUAAAUGUCCCAACAUUCAUUAGUUAUUUUUUUUAGGAAGUCUUCACAAAUAUUCCUAAAAAGUCAAACCUCCAGCUGCAGCUGAUGCAGAAUGCUGCUGCUGGCCUUCUGACUAAAACUAGGAAAAUAGAGCACAUCACAUAGUUUUGCAUAGUUUGCUUUUGAUUAAUAAUA